rnacentral:rRNA from 1 species
AUUGAACGCUGGCGGCAGGCCUAACACAUGCAAGUCGAACGAGUGGCGGACGGGUGAGUAAUGUCUGGGAAACUGCCUGAUGGUGGGGGAUAACUACUGGAAACGGUAGCUAAUACCGCAUACCAUCAGAUGUGCCCAGAUGGGAUUAGCUAGUUGUUGGGGUAAGGGCUCACCAAGGCGACGAUCCCUAGCUGGUCUGAGAGGAUGAACAGCCACACUGGAACGGAGACAAGGUCCAGACUACGACGGGAGGCAGCAGUGGGGAAGAGUGCACAAUGGGAGAAAGCCUGAUGCAGCCAUGCCGCGUGUAUGAAGAAGGCCGUCGGGUUGUAAAGGACUUUCAGCGGGGAGGCGUUACUCGCAGAAGAAGCACCGGCUAACUCCGUGCCAGCAGCCGCGGUAAUUC